ACUCCUACGGGAGGCAGCAGUGGGGAAUUUUGGACAAUGGGCGCAAGCCUGAUCCAGCAAUGCCGCGUGAGUGAAGAAGGCCUUCGGGUUGUAAAGCUCUUUUAGUUGAAAAGAAAAAAUCAUGACUAAUAAUCAUGAUUUAUGACGGUAUCAACAGAAAAAGCACCGGCUAACUACGUGCCAGCAGCCGCGGUAAUACGUAGGGUGCAAGCGUUAAUCGGAAUUACUGGGCGUAAAGGGUGCGCAGGCGGUUCUGUAAGUCAGAUGUGAAAUCCCCGGGCUUAACCUGGGAAUUGCGUUUGAAACUGCAGAUCUAGAGUGCGGCAGAGGGAGGUGGAAUUCCAUGUGUAGCAGUGAAAUGCGUAGAGAUAUGGAAGAACAUCGAUGGCGAAGGCAACCUCCUGGGCUAGCACUGACGCUCAUGCACGAAAGCGUGGGGAGCAAACAGGAUUAGAUACCCUGGUAGUCCACGCCCUAAACUAUGUCAACUAGUUGUCGGGUCUUGUUGGGCUUGGUAACGUAGCUAACGCGUGAAGUUGACCGCCUGGGGAGUACGGUCGCAAGAUUAAAACUCAAAGGAAUUGACGGGGACCCGCACAAGCGGUGGAUUAUGUGGAUUAAUUCGAUGCAACGCGAAAAACCUUACCUACCCUUGACAUGUCAGAAAGUUUUCAGAGAUGAAAUCGUGCUCGAAAGAGAAUCUGAACACAGGUGCUGCAUGGCUGUCGUCAGCUCGUGUCGUGAGAUGUUGGGUUAAGUCCCGCAACGAGCGCAACCCUUGUCAUUAAUUGCCAUCAUUCAGUUGGGCACUUUAAUGAGACUGCCGGUGAUAAACCGGAGGAAGGUGGGGAUGACGUCAAGUCCUCAUGGCCCUUAUGGGUAGGGCUUCACACGUAAUACAAUGGCGCGUACAGAGGGUUGCCAACUCGCGAGAGGGAGCUAAUCUCAGAAAGCGCGUCGUAGUCCGGAUCGGAGUCUGCAACUCGACUCCGUGAAGUCGGAAUCGCUAGUAAUCGCGGAUCAGCAUGUCGCGGUGAAUACGUUCCCGGGUCUUGUACACACCGCCCGUCACACCAUGGGAGUGGGCUUCACCAGAAGCAGGUAGUCUAACCGUAAGGAGGGCGCUUGCCACGGUGAGGUUCAUGACUGGGGUGAAGUCGUAACAAGGUAGCC
rnacentral:rRNA from 1 species